rnacentral:rRNA from 1 species
GCACUCCAAUUGGAAAGAGGAGUGGCGGACGGGUGAGUAACACGUGGGUAACCUACCCAUCAGAGGGGGAUAACACUUGGAAACAGGUGCUAAUACCGCAUAACAGUUUAUGCCGCAUGGCAUAAGAGUGAAAGGCGCUUUCGGGUGUCGCUGAUGGAUGGACCCGCGGUGCAUUAGCUAGUUGGUGAGGUAACGGCUCACCAAGGCCACGAUGCAUAGCCGACCUGAGAGGGUGAUCGGCCACACUGGGACUGAGACACGGCCCAGACUCCUACGGGAGGCAGCAGUAGGGAAUCUUCGGCAAUGGACGAAAGUCUGACCGAGCAACGCCGCGUGAGUGAAGAAGGUUUCCGGAUCGUAAAACUCUGUUGUCAGAGAAGAACAAGGACGUAGUAACUGAACGUCCCCUGCACGGUAUCUAACCAGAAAGCCACGGCUAACUACGUGCCAGCAGCCGCGGUAAUACGUAGGUGGCAAAGCGUACGAUCCGGAUUCAUUCGGGCAGUAACAGCGAGCGCAGGCGGUUUCUUCACGUCUGGAUGUGAAAGCCCCACGGCUCAACCGGGGAGGGUUCCAAUUGGAAACUUGGGAGACUUGAGCCCCAGAAGAGGAGAAUGGAAUUCCAUGUGUACGGUGAAAUGCGUAGAUAUAUGGAGGAACACCAUGGCGAAGGCGGCUCUCUGGUCUGUACUGACGCUGAGGCUCGAAAGCUGGGGAGCAACAGGAUUAGAUACCCUGGUAGUCCACGCCG